AGUGAACGCUGGCGGUAGGCCUAACACAUGCAAGUCGAACGGCCGCACAGUAAGAGCUUGCUCUUACGGGUGGCGAGUGGCGGACGGGUGAGGAAUACAUCGGAAUCUACUUUUUCGUGGGGGAUAACGUAGGGAAACUUACGCUAAUACCGCAUACGACCUACGGGUGAAAGCAGGGGAUCUUCGGACCUUGCGCGAUUGAUUGAGCCGAUGUCGGAUUAGCUAGUUGGCGGGGUAAAGGCCCACCAAGGCGACGAUCCGUAGCUGGUCUGAGAGGAGGAGCAGCGACACUGGAACUGAGGCACGGUCCAGACUCCUACGGGAGGCAGCAGUGGGGAAUAUUGGACAAUGGGCGCAAGCCUGAUCCAGCCAUACCGCGUGGGUGAAGAAGGCAUUCGGGUUGUAAAGCCCUUUUGUUGGGAAAGAAAAUCAGCAGGUGAAGUUCCCGAUGUUCUGACGGUACCCAAAGAAUAAGCACCGGCUAACUUCGUG
rnacentral:rRNA from 1 species